CUGUAUUUAUUGUGAUUAUGGUAAAAUAUAUAAAUGAAACAUGUUUUAUGUAGGUUUGGUGAAAUAGAAUAAAACCAGUUAAUAUGUAGACCAUGGUUUUUGGGAACACCAGUUGCUAUUGAUUUGAGGAGUCAAGCAGUAUGGAAGGGACACCACGGUCUGCAGACUGUUAUCAUGGACGCAGACUUAAGUUCCAUUAUUAUGUGGAUGUUACAAAAAUAAAAACUUAAACCAAAGCUUAUAAGAGUUUGAUGGGGGAGGGUCUCUUAGUAGAAAGCAAACCAACACUACAAUUGUAUGUAACAUCUGGAUGAUACCAUACUGUAAUUGUGAGGUCCAGUGCAGUACAGAUACCAACAAACAUAACAAACGAUGCAAUAUGGUCAAAGUAAACAAAAUGACUUGGUCAUGUAUAUACAGUGUUUAAUUUUGUUUGCUAUUAAUUAGCCUAGUCAAAUAAAUCAUUGGUAUGCGUAAGAUGAAAUAUGUACAUUUUUAAAAGAAUCCUUAUCACUUUGCACAAUCGUAUUGCCAUAAAGCCCAGCCUGUAGUAUAAUAUAGCAAGAAUUUAUUAGAAUAUUUCAGUCUCAACAAUUGUGUAUGUCAUUGUUUUCCAUCCUUGCGCAUAAAGGGUUGAUAUGGUUUUGCUCUCGAUACUCCCCGCUGAUACAGGUGUAUAGCUCUUGGAAUCAUAGUGACUAUCAAGAGAAGUUGAAGAUCUUAUAAGCUGCAAAUGAACAAGCUGAAAAUCCAAAGAAUCAUAUCAGCUAUCAAGAUUUCAUCAAAGAAGAGAAGAGAUUGAUGCCAUGGACUUCACAGUAGAGAAGACUACAACUAGUAACAGAUAUAUACACUUUUCGUUGUUAUGAAACAACUAAAUUAUAUAAGCUACAAAGGAAAUCCAACUGACACACCUCCAUGUCAAGUGGAUGUGGUACCAUCUGGCCUCCAGCAUUUCACUAAUUCGAUGGAAUUUUAUAC